GUGCCAGCCGCCGCGGUAAUACGUAGGGUGCAAGCGUUAAUCGGAAUUACUGGGCGUAAAGCGUGCGCAGGCGGUUUUGUAAGACAGGUGUGAAAUCCCCGAGCUCAACUUGGGAACUGCACUUGUGACUGCAAGACUAGAGUGUGUCAGAGGGAGGUAGAAUUCCACGUGUAGCAGUGAAAUGCGUAGAGAUGUGGAGGAAUACCGGUGGCGAAGGCGGCCUCCUGGGAUAACACUGACGCUCAUGUACGAAAGCGUGGGGAGCAAACAGGAUUAGAUACCCUGGUAGUCCACGCCCUAAACGAUGUCAACUGGUUGUUGGGUCUUCAUUGACUUAGUAACGAAGCUAACGCGUGAAGUUGACCGCCUGGGGAGUACGGUCGCAAGAUUAAAACUCAAAGGAAUUGGCGG
rnacentral:rRNA from 1 species